rnacentral:rRNA from 1 species
UGAGGAAUAUUGGUCAAUGGACGAGAGUCUGAACCAGCCAAGUAGCGUGCAGGAUGACGGCCCUAUGGGUUGUAAACUGCUUUUGUUUGGGAAUAAUCGACAUUACGUGUAAUGUUUUGCAUGUACCAUUCGAAUAAGGACCGGCUAAUUCCGUGCCAGCAGCCGCGGUAAUACGGAAGGUCCAGGCGUUAUCCGGAUUUAUUGGGUUUAAAGGGAGUGUAGGCGGUUGGUUAAGCGUGUUGUGAAAUGUAGAUGCUCAACAUCUGACUUGCAGCGCGAACUGGCUGACUUGAGUACACACAACGUAGGCGGAAUUCAUGGUGUAGCGGUGAAAUGCUUAGAUAUCAUGAAGAACUCCGAUUGCGAAGGCAGCUUACGGGAGUGUUAAUGACGCUUAAGCUCGAAGGUGCGGGUAUCGAACAGG